rnacentral:rRNA from 1 species
AUUGAACGCUGGCGGCAGGCCUAACACAUGCAAGUCGAGCGUGCGCCGGACGGGUGAGUAAUGUAUGGGGACUGCCCGUUACAGGGGGAUCACUACUGGACACGGUAGCUAAUACCGCAUACUAUCGGAUAACCCAUAUGUGAAUAGCUAGUAGGUGAGGUAAUGGCUCAACUAGGCGACGCUCCCUAGCUGGUCUGAGAGGAUGAUCAGCAAGACUGGGACUGAGAAACGGCCCAGACUACUACGGAGGCAGCAGUGGGGAAUAUUGCACAAUGGGCGCAAGCCUUAUGCAGCCAUGCCGCGUGUAUGAAGAAGGCCAUAGGGUUGUAAAGUACUUUCAGUCGGGAGGCGUUACCGACAGAAGAAGCACCGGCUAACUCCGGGCCAGCAGCCGCGGUAAUAC